ACCUUUCCAAAUCCACCCCUACCCAAAAUGUUUUUGUUGCUAAAAUAAUCUGUUGCAACUUGUAAUUCACGCAGAGAAAACCUUUUAAGCUGUCCAAGAUGGACCUCUGGGUCCUCUUCAGCAGGUACAUCAAAGAAAUGAUCCUGUGGUUUUCUUCGCCGCCAAUAAGCAAUAGCAAUGGCAGGGGCAGCAAACAGCAGAGCAGCUCCAGCAGCAACCUCCCCCAGCAAUAGCUCCAGUAGCACUGUUACCACUAGAAGUAGGUGUCGAUGGAGGCAAAGGAGGAGGUGGGGAAGGAGGAGGAUUGUUGAGUAGAUUAUUUUUAAAACUGAUGGGAGUGAACAAGGAAAAGGAACCAUUGACAGGAACAUCUCCUGUAAGUUUAUUGCUUGAAAGAUCCAGGACUUGCAAGGAUGCAAUGGUAGUCAAAGGCAUAGGAAUUGUUCCCGACAAGCUGUUGUUGUUCAGACGCAGGAAACGGAGUCUUUGAAGCUUGCCCAAUGUCACUGGAAUUGGGCCAUUUAAGUUGUUCAAGUAAAGAUCCAAG
rnacentral:misc_RNA from 1 species